rnacentral:rRNA from 1 species
GAUGAACGCUGGCGGCGUGCCUAAUACAUGCAAGUCGAGCGAACAGACGAGGAGCUUGCUCCUCUGACGUUAGCGGCGGACGGGUGAGUAACACGUGGAUAACCUACCUAUAAGACUGGGAUAACUUCGGGAAACCGGAGCUAAUACCGGAUAAUAUAUUGAACCGCAUGGUUCAAUAGUGAAAGACGGUUUUGCUGUCACUUAUAGAUGGAUCCGCGCCGCAUUAGCUAGUUGGUAAGGUAACGGCUUACAAAGGCAACGAUGCGUAGCCGACCUGAGAGGUGGAUCGGCCACACUGGAACUGGGACACGGUCCAGACUCCUACGGGAGGCAGCAGUAGGGAAUCUUCCGCAAUGGGCGAAAGCCUGACGGAGCAACGCCGCGUGGGUGAUGAAGGUCUUCGGAUCGUAAAGCUCUGUUAUUAGGGAAGAACAAAUGUGUAAGUAACUAUGCACGUCUUGACGGUACCUAAUCAGAAAGCCACGGCUAACUACGUG